rnacentral:rRNA from 1 species
AUUGAACGCUGGCGGCAUGCCUUACACAUGCAAGUCGAACGGCAGCACGGGAGCAAUCCUGGUGGCGAGUGGCGAACGGGUGAGUAAAGUAUCGGAACGUGCCCAGUCGUGGGGGAUAACGUAGCGAAAGUUACGCUAAUACCGCAUACGAUCUAUGGAUGAAAGCGGGGGAUCGCAAGACCUCGCGCGAUUGGAGCGGCCGAUAUAAGAUUAGGUAGUUGGUGGGGGAAAGGCUCACCAAGCCGACGAUCUGUAGCUGGUCUGAGAGGACGACCAGCCACACUGGGACUGAGACACGGCCCAGACUCCUACGGGAGGCAGCAGUGGGGAAUUUUGGACAAUGGGCGAAAGCCUGAUCCAGCCAUGCCGCGUGCAGGAUGAAGGCCUUCGGGUUGUAAACUGCUUUUGUACGGAACGAAAAGGUUUGGCCUAAUAAGCUGAGCUCAUGACGGUACCGUAAGAAUAAGCACCGGCUAACUACGUGCCAGCAGCCGCAGUAAUAC